rnacentral:rRNA from 1 species
CCUACGGGAGGCAGCAGUGAGGAAUAUUGGUCGAUGGACGAGAGUCUGAACCAGCCAAGUAGCGUGAAGGAUGACUGCCCUAUGGGUUGUAAACUUCUUUUAUAUGGGAAUAAAAUGUUCCACGUGUGGGAUUUUGUAUGUACCAUAUGAAUAAGGAUCGGCUAACUCCGUGCCAGCAGCCGCGGUAAUACGGAGGAUCCGAGCGUUAUCCGGAUUUAUUGGGUUUAAAGGGAGCGUAGGUGGAUUGUUAAGUCAGUUGUGAAAGUUUGCGGCGCAACCGUAAAAUUGCAGUUGAAACUGGCAGUCUUGAGUACAGUAGAGGUGGGCGGAAUUCGUGGUGUAGCGGUGAAAUGCUUAGAUAUCACGAAGAACUCCGAUUGCGAAGGCAGUUCACUGGACUGCAACUGACACUGAGGCUCGAAAGUGUGGGUAUCAAACAGGAUUAGAUACCCCUGUAGUC